rnacentral:rRNA from 1 species
GUGACCUGCGGAGGAUCAUUACCAAUUUCGGGGGACUUCGGUCCCUGUCUGAACCCUUGUCUUUUGAGUACCAUUUGUUUCCUUGGUAGGCUUUGCCUGCCAACAGGACACCACUUAACCUCUUGUAAUUGCAAUCAGCGUCAGAAAAACAUAAUAGUUACAACUUUCAACAACGGAUCUCUUGGUUCUGGCAUCGAUGAAGAACGCAGCGAAAUGCGAAAAGUAGUGUGAAUUGCAGAAUUCAGUGAAUCAUCGAAUCUUUGAACGCACAUUGCGCCCCUUGGUAUUCCAUGGGGCAUGCCUGUUCGAGCGUCAUUUGUACCUUCAAGCUCUGCUUGGUGUUGGGUGUUUGUCCCGCUUUGUGCGUGGACUCGCCUUAAAGCAAUUGGCAGCCGGCGUACUAGUCUGGGAGCGCAGCACAAAUUGCGCAUCUGAACCUGAACGCUUGCGUCCAUGAAGCCUAAACUUUUACGCUUGACCUCGGAUCAGGUAGGGAUACCCGCUGAACUUAAGCAUAUCAAUA